GAUGAACGCUGGCGGCGUGCCUAAUACAUGCAAGUCGAGCGAACGGACGAGAAGCUUGCUUUUCUGAUGUUAGCGGCGGACGGGUGAGUAACACGUGGAUAACCUACCUAUAAGACUGGGAUAACUUCGGGAAACCGGAGCUAAUACCGGAUAAUAUUUUGAACCGCAUGGUUCAAAAGUGAAAGACGGUCUUGCUGUCACUUAUAGAUGGAUCCGCGCUGCAUUAGCUAGUUGGUAAGGUAACGGCUUACCAAGGCAACGAUGCAUAGCCGACCUGAGAGGGUGAUCGGCCACACUGGAACUGAGACACGGUCCAGACUCCUACGGGAGGCAGCAGUAGGGAAUCUUCCGCAAUGGGCGAAAGCCUGACGGAGCAACGCCGCGUGAGUGAUGAAGGUCUUCGGAUCGUAAAACUCUGUUAUUAGGGAAGAACAUAUGUGUAAGUAACUGUGCACAUCUUGACGGUACCUAAUCAGAAAGCCACGGCUAACUACGUGCCAGCAGCCGCGGUAAUACGUAGGUGGCAAGCGUUAUCCGGAAUUAUUGGGCGUAAAGCGCGCGUAGGCGGUUUUUUAAGUCUGAUGUGAAAGCCCACGGCUCAACCGUGGAGGGUCAUUGGAAACUGGAAAACUUGAGUGCAGAAGAGGAAAGUGGAAUUCCGUGUGUAGCGGUGAAAUGCGCAGAGAUAUGGAGGAACACCAGUGGCGAAGGCGACUUUCUGGUCUGUAACUGACGCUGAUGUGCGAAGGCGUGGGGAUCAACCAGGAUUAGAUACCCUGGUAGUCCACGCCGUAAACGAUGAGUGCUAAGUGUUAGGGGGUUUCCGCCCCUUAGUGCUGCAGCUAACGCAUUAAGCACUCCGCCUGGGGAGUACGACCGCAAGGUUGAAACUCAAAGGAAUUGACGGGGACCCGCACAAGCGGUGGAGCAUGUGGUUUAAUUCGAAGCAACGCGAAGAACCUUACCAAAUCUUGACAUCCUUUGACAACUCUAGAGAUAGAGCCUUCCCCUUCGGGGGACAAAGUGACAGGUGGUGCAUGGUUGUCGUCAGCUCGUGUCGUGAGAUGUUGGGUUAAGUCCCGCAACGAGCGCAACCCUUAAGCUUAGUUGCCAUCAUUAAGUUGGGCACUCUAAGUUGACUGCCGGUGACAAACCGGAGGAAGGUGGGGAUGACGUCAAAUCAUCAUGCCCCUUAUGAUUUGGGCUACACACGUGCUACAAUGGACAAUACAAAGGGCAGCGAAACCGCGAGGUCAAGCAAAUCCCAUAAAGUUGUUCUCAGUUCGGAUUGUAGUCUGCAACUCGACUACAUGAAGCUGGAAUCGCUAGUAAUCGUAGAUCAGCAUGCUACGGUGAAUACGUUCCCGGGUCU
rnacentral:rRNA from 1 species